rnacentral:rRNA from 1 species
GCCCUGUUUAACAAAAACAUGUCUAUAUGAAGUUAUAUAAAGUCUAACCUGCCCACUGAAUAUUAAAGGGCCGCAGUAUUUUGACUGUGCAAAGGUAGCAUAAUCAUUUGUUUUUUAAUUGAAAACUUGUAUGAAUGGUUGAACGAGAAAUAAACUGUCUCUUAUUAAAAAAUUGAAUUUUACUUUUAAGUGAAAAGGCUUAAAUAAUUUUAAGGGACGAUAAGACCCUAUAAAUCUUUAUAUAAUUUUUUAUAUAUUUAUAUUUAUAUAUCUAUUAAAAUAAAUAAAAUAUUAUAUUAUAUUGGGGUGAUAAAAAUAUAUAAUUAACUAUUUUAAUUUUAAAACAAUUAUUUUUGAUUUUUAUUUAAGAUCCUUUAUUAAGAUUAAAAGACAAAGUUACUUUAGGGAUAACAGCGUAAUUUUUUUUAAAAGUCCUUAUUAUAAAAAAAGUUUGCGACCUCGAUGUUGAAUUAAAAUAAUCCAUAUGGUGCAGCAGUUAUAUUGGAAAGUCUGUUCGACUUUUAAAUUUUUACAUGAUUUGAGUUCAGACCACA